GACGAACGCUGGCGGCGUGCUUAACACAUGCAAGUCGAACGGUAAGGCUCUUCGGGGUACACGAGUGGCGAACGGGUGAGUAACACGUGGGUGAUCUGCCCUGCACUUCGGGAUAAGCCUGGGAAACUGGGUCUAAUACCGGAUAGGACUCCGGACUGCAUGGUCUGGGGUGGAAAGCUUUUGCGGUGUGGGAUGGGCCCGCGGCCUAUCAGCUUGUUGGUGGGGUGAUGGCCUACCAAGGCGACGACGGGUAGCCGGCCUGAGAGGGUGACCGGCCACACUGGGACUGAGAUACGGCCCAGACUCCUACGGGAGGCAGCAGCGGGGAAUAUUGCACAAUGGGCGCAAGCCUGAUGCAGCGACGCCGCGUGAGGGAUGACGGCCUUCGGGUUGUAAACCUCUUUCAGCAUCGACGAAGCGAAAGUGACGGUAGGUGCAGAAGAAGGACCGGCCAACUACGUGCCAGCAGCCGCCGUAA
rnacentral:rRNA from 1 species